rnacentral:rRNA from 1 species
GAUGAACGCUGGCGGCGUGCCUAAUACAUGCAAGUCGAGCGAACGGACGAGAAGCUUGCUUCUCUGAUGUUAGCGGCGGACGGGUGAGUAACACGUGGAUAACCUACCUAUAAGACUGGGAUAACUUCGGGAAACCGGAGCUAAUACCGGAUAAUAUUUUGAACCGCAUGGUUCAAAAGUAAAAGACGGUCUUGCUGUCACUUAUAGGUGGAUCCGCGCUGCAUUAGCUAGUUGGUAAGGUAACGGCUUACCAAGGCAACGAUGCAUAGCCGACCUGAGAGGGUGAUCGGCCACACUGGAACUGAGACACGGUCCAGACUCCUACGGGAGGCAGCAGUAGGGAAUCUUCCGCAAUGGGCGAAAGCCUGACGGAGCAACGCCUCGUGAGUGAUGAAGGUCUUCGGAUCGUAAAACUCUGUUAUUAGGGAAGAACAUAUGUGUAAGUAACUGUGCACAUCUUGACGGUACCUAAUCAGAAAGCCACGGCUAACUACGUG